rnacentral:rRNA from 1 species
GAUGAACGCUGGCGGCGUGCCUAAUACAUGCAAGUCGAGCGAACGGACGAGAAGCUUGCUUCUCUGAUGUUAGCGGCGGACGGGUGAGUAACACGUGGAUAACCUACCUAUAAGACUGGGAUAACUUCGGGAAACCGGAGCUAAUACCGGAUAAUAUUUUGAACCGCAUGGUUCAAAAGUGAAAGACGGUCUUGCUGUCACUUAUAGAUGGAUCCGCGCUGCAUUAGCUAGUUGGUAAGGUAACGGCUUACCAAGGCAACGAUGCAUAGCCGACCUGAGAGGGUGAACGGCCACACGGGAACUGAGGCACGGUCCAGACUCCUAGGGGAGGCAGCAGUAGGGAAUCUUCCGCAAUGGGCGAAAGCCUGACGGAGCAACGCCGCGGGAGGGAUGAAGGUCUUAGGAUCGUAAAACUCUGUUAUUAGGGAAGAACAUAUGUGUAAGUAACUGUGCACAUCUUGACGGUACCUAAUCAGAAAGCCACGGCUAACUACGUG